AAGUCACCUGUAAAAAACAGUACAAAACAGUUUCAGUUUUUAGAGGCAGCACACCAAAGAACAGCAUACUCAUCAUCCUGAUGCUUCCAUGCUUGUGCUUCCCCAAUUCAGUAAAUUACUUUCAGUAGCCUUGUACCAUCGUAUCUAAAUCACAAAGUGAAAUGUUCCAUGAUGAGCUUCUCAUGGCCAUUUUUUUUUUUUAUUAUUAUUGCAAACAGCUCACGUUUGCUUCAAUUACUAGGUAAAUGUAAGGUAGAAGGAAACAGGAGUGCUUUGGCAUCCAGGGAAUGUGGGUUGAUGUUGCAAAAAAGAACACAGUUUUGGCCAUGUUACAAAUGCCAGAAUAUUCUCAGUUUCCAUUGCUGAAUAAAGGCUUGAUGGAUUUGUCAGCUUAAUGCACUGAAGGUUUGUCUGCACCACAGAUGCUCUGCGUUCCCUGAGCUGCUUUUUGUAACGGGGAUGUUUUGGGUUUAAUAAUCUGACAGCUGUAGGAACAGAUAAGCUUUUUAUUGACUUGUUCUUCUGGAGGCGUCUGUGACAGAAGCUAUUAGGAGGGAGAUACCUUUUCUUGUACUAACAGUGUUUCUGGCCUUGCAGGCCAUACGAAAGGAGAGAGAGUACCACUUGGAUCUAUACUUUAAAACAUGAAGAAAAACUGGGAAAGGUUUAGGACAUGGGAACUGGAAGGAAAGGUAUGUAAGGGCACAGAUAGAGGCUAGUAAGGGUAGGUCACAGGGAGGUGGAAGAGGACAGCAGGCAAGUCUGCAAAUGAGAGUGACAUUUUCAAACGUUUUUGUUGUUUGCCUGUUUGCAGGCAACUUAAGUUUGCAACUUUUAUAUUGCUUUUGGAAAUAGUAGGCGUCAGGUUGAGUUUUUUUUAGAAAUACCAAUUAAACAUGCUUGUUAAAUUUGAAUGUAAGCUUUCUCUUAAUAGUUACCAUAAACCUUAAGUUUCAUGUAGUAUUUUACUAAUGAAGAAAUACUUUUAAAUCUGGAAAGUACAAUUUCCUUAAAGAUUCAGCAUUCUUAAGGGUGGACCUGUUUGUAGAAUGAUGAAGUUUGCUUACCCAGGGGUUUACUUUUUGAGUAUUUCUAACCCUGUAGUUGCAUUGCCUUUAGCGAAGUUAAAAAUGAAUGGCUUAAUUUCCUGGAGGCUUGUGAAAAUUACUCAAAUUAUAGCUGUCUUUCCAGCAAUAGUUCAGAUUACCUUUGAGGCAGGGUGGAGAUGUUUCAGUUGUAUUAGUGGCUGUAGAGCCACAUGCUUUGUGCCUCGCCUUCCCUGCCGCAGACACCCAUGGGAAGAAUGAGCAGGCUCUUCCUUCUUUCAGCUCUGGUCCAGUGAUGGCAGAGGACUUCCUUCUAGCUCGCUAGUUCCAGUUCUGAUGAUUUGUUUUACUUCCCUGCGUUGUUUAGCGUUCUUUUUGAGUACUUUGUUUCUACAUUUUUUCUUCACUCAUGGUUUCGCUUGUUCAGUGAUGUGGCUUUCAGUUUGCUUAAUUCUUCCGUGCUUAGUUUGAAUGCAGUCAUCUGGCUUGUUUGUUUGAGCAAUGUACGUAACCUGCUUGUCUAUUUCUUUUAUCAGGAUCUCAGUCCCAGGGUAAGAAAGGAACAUCAGAAAAAGUUUCUGAACAACCUCUUUGGCAGUGUUCAAUCCCCUCUCCUACCCAGACUUACAGACUUGGAUAAGGACAUGAGCACUCACUCUUUGCUGUCUAGGACGAAGGAAAACAUCUGACCAGGGUUGCUUCCUCAUCUGUCUUGUAACCAAGAGCUGGAGAAGCUGGAAGUUCUCCGAGACUUGCUGGCCUGCAAGUUUUUUUGGUAGCUUUGCACAUUUGACAGUGCAAAGUGUCAAAUGUCUGAGAUGACAUUAGACAGUAGUGCUUCAGUGAUGUCUAGGCAAACGAUGACACAGGUUCAGCAAUUAGGCAUAGUGCUUCUGACUCAAGCCUAAUGAUGCCUGUUGCUAAUGUACGUGCAGUCAGUUUUGUAGUUGUAUUUAGUCUUAGUAUAAGAGCAAAUCUGUGUUACUGCACCUGGUGUCUACGGUGUGAAGAGGGGUUAUGGCUGAGCACUCUGGAUCACAUUCUAGCACAAAUCUAUGCUUGUCUUCUCUUCAAAUUGGAGUAACUUCCUUUUCUGCUAGUUUGAACAAGACCAGCACUUUCUAGUUUCACCUCUACCUGAGGCUCUCAAGGCAUUUUCUUACUCCCUUGGUUAGACCCUCUUCUCACAGAUAACUUGCCAUUUUAGUCUUUGCAAGAACAGCAGAGUGUUGAGAUACAUUUUAUGAUGUGGAUGUUGAUCCCAGGGUUCGGCUCAGUAUUUCUCCAUGAAGAUUCUCAUGCCAUAGGUACUGCUCAGGGGCAACUGGCUGAAAACAUUUUAGGACUAAUGUAAAGUGCUGUGUGUCCAUGAAAAUUCCUCUGAGAGUGAAGGCAAAUUAUGGGCUUGUCUUUGUUCCUCUUCACUUUAGCAACCAGUGAUAUUUUCAACAAAGGACCUCAAUCUGCCCUGUCUGUGAGGGACAAGCCGCACAGCUGAAGCCUGUGCAGGCCUACGCCAUCAUAGGAACUGUAUCACCAUUGUAAGCAAAGAGCAUUCUUAGCACUGAAUUUCUCCUCUCAACAGGUCUUGGUAUGGGAGAUGAUGAAGCAAGGUGGUUUCCACUGUUUCAGUAUGAGCAUUACUCAAACCUGUCCCAUAUGUCCCUAACCGGGGCCAAAGACCUUUCUGAGGAAGUUUCGUUUUGUUACGUGUGAAGGAGAUGACAUCCUCAGUUUUUCCAGGACUAGACUUCAUAGCUAGUCCCUACUUUGUAGAAAAUGUGACCUACACACAGGACACACAACUUUGCUUCCAGCUUUUUAGUUUAGCAUCUCAUCUAAUACGGACUGUUUCUCCCCAUCAGUAGUAUCACAAAAAUAGAGAGACUCCUGAGGUAGGUACUGGCAGUCAUUCUUUUGCCCAACCUGUUGGAUGGUGUGCAAGGAACUGUGAGGCAAUCCGUAUGAGUAAGGUUGAGUCUUACAUAGCUUAGCUGUGGCUUGAAACUGCAACAUGUCAAGAACCUGGGUGUUCAACAUCAUCUUCAGUGGUUACAGCAUUCAGUUCUGUUCUGAUGCAUCUUCCUGCCCCUGUCAUAUCCCCUGUUUCAAUAAAAUAGAGAGGUGGAGGGUUUUUUUGUUUGUUUGGGUGUUGGUUUGGGUUUUUUUUAGCCCAAAUGCUCAGAGAUAGUUUCCUUGUCAUCUUAGGGGAAGGGGAUUUUGUAGCAGGUGUUGCCUUAAGGAAGGAAUUGUUCUGGAGUUAAAAUAGCACUUUCACUUGCAAACCCUAGUUCAGGUGUUUCACCAAAUUGCUGAAGGUCAAAGUUGCUCCACCUCAGGGUGGUCUCUAUUCCAUAGUAGAAGCCAGCACUCAAAACAGUUACCAGUUUUUCUUCAUCACUUUAAUUUUCAGGUUUCCCUUAUGUGCACAAGUCUCACCUAUUCCCAUGUCAAAUGUCAGCAUUUUCAGAGCCAAGUCAACUCUGUGUCCUGAGCAGUCAGAACACUCCCUAAAACUGGGAGUUUAUGAGAAGUCUCCUGAAAUACAUCCACAUUGCAACGUGUCAAAACGCUGUACAGUUGGAAAUGCGCGCUAGGAAUGCUACAGUAUUUUGAGAUUUGUGCCAGAAGCAUUCCCAUGUGUAACAAAUGUGAUAGUGUUAAAUUUACACGGCUGUGUUGGGCAAAGAUCUCUGCAGUUACCGCCUUCACUAUCUAAUCUGCCUAAUGCCAACAUAUUUCCUAGGAGCACCGAAGACAAUGUCAGAGGAUCUUAGGCUGACAGACCACGUGCAGGGAGGGUAUUUUGGAUGUUACUUGUAACAUUUCUCUUUCAGGGUUUCCUCCCCACGGUGACUCAAAGCCUACCCUUGUGGUCCGUGUGUAUGCAAAGCCUUUAUUAUCUCUUAGACUACCUGAAUUUAGUCCUACGCUUCACUGCAAAUUAACAAUAAGAAGGAUUUCCCACUAGUGUUUAAGGCCAAAGGAGCUUCCAGAACAUCCUGUUAAGUAACUAUGGAAACAGUGGAUGCAGUCUGCUAGUUAGUGGCUUUCACCUUUUUGAGGCCAUUGUCACGUCCCUAGCGGUACAGAGGUGCAAGUCGCUUGACGGCUCCCUGUCUGCUCAGGAUUCACCGAUUAAUUCCUGGACCUCUGAAGGUCUGGGUUCCCCUACGAAGACACAUAAGAUACCUGCUGCUUGUCCUUUUUCUCAUCCAGCGUUACUAAGCAGAAGCCUCUAUGCUAUGCUGGGGACAGAGACUUUGAGAGUGCAGUGCUUCAGCGGCUUCUGCAGAGUAGGUGUUUUCAAGAGCUGUAGGCAGCGGUUUCCUGGUUACAGAACAUCUGUAGUCUCAGUUCCUUCAGCCGUUUCAGAGCCCUGAGAUGGCAUCCCUGGAUCUAUGUUUGCUGGCUUCAGUCUAUGCCUUCUGUUGCUUUUACCAGUCCCCUAGCUCAAGGCGUCCACAAUGUUGGUUUCUAUUACUGUGGUAUCGAGUAGCAUUUCCCCCCCUCUCCUUCCACCUUCUUUUUCAGAAACAUUUAUUGAUCAUUGGCACCAUCUCCGUGAUGGAGUGAACAUUUCAACCUUAUAUUCACAUAAGCAGUAACAUUCACAGGAAUCAUUCCCAGUUAAUGAAAACUCUUGCUGUUGCUUGGUUUCAGUAUGUGCUCAUCUUCACUCUUAAGUUGACCUCUUUAAGCCACCAUCAUUAAGUGCCUUUGUCUCCCACAGUAUUAUUACCUCAUGUUGGUACGAUACAUCCUGUAACUAUCACAGCUCCAGAUGUAUCUUCGCUCACUGCUCUUUCCUGCCUUGCUGAACUCUGUUCACAUUGCUUUCAUUCUUCCUUUUUUCAUCAUCCUCUUCACAGUUUUGCUUUCACCAUGCUAUCCUGUAUCAUUUUCCAUGGACACAAUCAUGUCCUCUUACGCUGUGACCCUUUAUGUAUUCUUCCAGGAGCAGAACUUUUCUUGUCUACUAGGGGUUGAAAUAGCCAUGUCAGCCUCCAGCUGAACGGCUGUACUCUGGGGCCAAGGAAGGUGGUGCACUGUGGUCUCCAUGUGAGAGGGAACCUAACUGACCAGUAGCUGUCCUUCACAGCUGUGUCCUGGCAUUUCCGGGAGCCAGAAUAAGGCCCAAGGCCAAGGAGAGACAGCGAAGCAGAAGAGGGAGGGCUAUAAAUUGGUACAACAAGGGAAAGAAAGACAGAGAGAUGAGCCUUAUUCCCACCCUUCUGCAGCCUCUGCUAGCCAAUAAUAUGUUGGCAUGGUUGAAAUUCGUUGUUCUCAGCUUAAUCUAUUUCUCUUGUUGCCUUCCUUGUUUUUAGGGGUUUGUUAACCUUGACUGUUUUUGCUGUGGUCUGGGUGCACGCACACAGUUAGGUAUCCGUCACUUGACAGGUUAUAGCAGCUCAUUACAGCUGUUUUAACUUUAUCUAAUGAUGACCAUAGCCGGUGCCCUUAACGCACACUUACAGGAGCUACCCAUGGAUAUGCUUUUAUGGGUUAUUACAGAAAGAUUCUACUCUAUGUAUGGAGCUGCAUCUCACAGCUGAUGCAAGACUGAGAACAGGUAUCAAGCCAAGCCUGUAAAUCUCUCAAACUAUGUAAAAAAUCACUGUGGCAGUAGGUAGAUUGCAGCUUCCAUUUGGAGCAGCAUCCCAGAGCCGAAGGGCAUAGCGGGGAUCCAGAACAACCAUCCAUCCAGAGUGAUGCUCAUGCAUCUAGAAGGGGUGGGCGAUUAUCUAUUUGUAGGUUAGACCAUUCACCCUCACCUUUCAGAAGUGCUGCUUUCCUCAGUGAAGAAACUUCUGUUUCCUUUAGUCACCACUGUCACCCUGGCAUAUUUGGGCAGCUAGAAUGAGCCACCUUCCUUGAGCAGCCUCAGUUUGGCAGCCUCAGUUUUGGUUUGCUUGCCAGUGGCAAACAGGUAGCAACAACAUUUCAUAUGCAACAUGUCUGUUCUGUCACACAGACAACUGGCAUUUCUGCUUCCUAUGCUGCUAAUUUUGUCCAUACAAAUGAUCCCACAACCAGUAACAAAGCAGAAAUUAUGUCCCUGUCAGUUAAGGAAACACGGCUGCCAAGAGAGAAGACUUAACCACUCUAAGUUUCUGUUCUAAAAGUGGGUGGAUAAUCGCUUUGUUUCUGGUUAGGAAAACAGCAGUCCUCCCUUGUGGGUAUUCUAGACAUUCUGACUAUUUCCAAAAGAUUUUAGCCCAAUUCCAUGAUUCAGUUUUCACCAUAAACAACAUCUCAGAAAACCAUGCAGACAUCACGCCCCCAUACUGGCUACCUCUUAUUUUCAUGCUUCAGGUUUUUAAACAGAAAUGCCUUAAACACAAAGAGUUAAUAGUUUCGAGGGUUUUCAGACCAGGUAGGUAACAUGAUCUGGUUAAAGGGAGACAGAACACUGGUGGUGCAAAUGUUGAGUAUUAAAUUGAGUGUGAGUCAUCCAAUUCUGUUUAUUAACCUGACUUCCUUCUUAGUCACCCAGCAUAGCUAUUCUUUCUCAUCUCAUCAGGGAGCAAACCUUUCCAUCACCCUAACCUGAACUCUGGAAUAGUGCAGACAGUCUGCAGCAUAUUCCACCUUCAUGAACAAAUGUAAAGCUUCAGUAAUGCUAUGACUCAAUGAAAAAGUAACGCUCCUUACUGCCUUUUACCCAGAGUGCCGAGGCCUUCAAGUAUAUAGAGUGGUUGCUGCGUAAAUGGACUGAAUUAUACAUUGUUCAAGGGGUUGAUUAGCAUUCAGCAAACCCUGAAUUAAAGGUUGUUAAUUCAGUGGGGCUCUCACACUUUCAUUGGUAGAAAUAGGAUACACUGCACUUGGGAAAAUGUGAAGUAGUCUGGCCUUCCAGCAACACUGCUGAACUCCACAAGAAUGCUGUAUUGUUUGCAGAGACCUUGCUCAAAAGCAGUAUACACAACUGUCUGCAUCUCCCACAUUUUUACCUCAUUGGCAUAAAAGUAAUCUAGGAGGGGGAAAUAUGUCCUCUUGUCACUCUUGUCUGCAAGUUUUCAAACUAAAAUAUGCAUAACAGGGCUUCUUGGUUUUUUCCCCCCAACUUAUUAUAAUAUAGCUAGCCACAGAAAUUUUGGCAAUUUGGAAAUUAUUUUCUUAGGGCCCACAGAAAUCAAUACUACCAGACAGCAGACAAGCAAGAAAACAGAUGCCUGACAGCAUUAUAGGAAAUUCUGCUAACAGAUAAAGAUUCAUAGGAUGUUUUCCAUUUUAUGCCAGUUUGCCAGGUGUUUAUAUGUGUGUACUGAAGCCAUCAAAUUGUCAGAGCAGUAGAGCCUGGACCCAGCAUACCAGCUUUCGAGUAAGGUGACCAGCCACCUCCCCACCCUUUCUAGAAGGGCAUGUAACGUUCUUUGAAAAGAACAAGGCAAGAAGGAAAUGUUUCAACAGAAGUCUCGUGUUUCUUUCUUCACCUACUAAAGUUUUGGUUUUUUUUUUAAUGAUGGGAGGAUUAUUUAGCAGGGGCAUGCCUCUGAAGGGGAAGUCCCAGUGUAGUGUUUACAUAGAUGACAAGCCAAGACAAUUGUAUAACUGUGCCACUCAGUGUCAUUGCUAAAUUAGGUGCAUAGUCAGAGCUCAUUGCUUUUAAAAGAACAGCAUUGCCUAGUGAGGGAAAAAAUUGUUCUAAUUAUUUCCUAUUAAAAAGGAAUUUUAGAAGAAAGAUCCUGUGAUUUUGGCAAUCUAUUUAUUAAAUCUUACAUAACUGUGUAGAAGAAAAGGCUUUAUGUAAAGUGCUUUCUAAACUAAUCCCCAACAGAAAGCUCUUUCACAUCUGCUGGCUGCUAAGAAUACUCCUUAGACUUUCAUCGGUCUAAUUCUGUCUGGAUUUGACAGGAUUAUAUGAAGGCAAAUAUAAAGAGCCAGAUGAUUAGCUUUUCCUAAAUCUUUCAAAACUUCAAGACAGUAAAAAUAGAAGUAGGAAACUUGUAAAGAAAUUAAAUUACUCUAUAGAAGAUGGGUUUUAUUUUGAAAUGAAAUUGAUAUGAUUCUAGGAAGUGAUGUAAAAACUAUUCCUUCCUGUGAGAACUAAACAUUCAUAAAUGUCAAUACAACAAGGGCAUGUACUUGCUAAAGCACUUCUGGCCCAAGUUACAUAGAUUUAGCACUCUCUUUGUUUCUUUCAAAGAGAUGUUUAUUUUUUUAUAUGUUAGCUGCUUCUAUGACCUCUGGCUAUUUUUUUGAGACUUUUUUUUUUCCUUCUAUUCUUCACAGUCCAUGUAAUGCUUUAGUUUAUACAGGAGAGAACUAUUCACUGAGAAUCUCAGAAUUUGGCCUGUAAGUGAUAGAAUUAUAAAAGAUUCAUUGUAGAAGACAGAGUUCUUUGCAAAUAGAUGUAUUUGUAUUACAGAUGUUCCAUAUAUUUUUUCUUUGAAGCUGCUUCUCUGUGUGGUUGUCAUUAGAAGAGGGCAAAUGGGAGUUACCAGUAGCGUACAACGUAUUAUCAGUCUUACCAACUAGCAGCCUGCUAAACCAUCUGUAUACAGAAUAAGGAGGUGGUAAAUUAGGCACGUGUGUGUUACACAAAUGUGUGGCUGAGUAUGUUUAUUGAAAUGUCUCAAAGCUUUAGGCUUUGAACAAGGGAAUGUAAAAAUACAUGAUACAGAGUUAAGUGGUUUUUGUCACACAAAGGCCCAUUUUUGCAUAACAUACUACAUAACACAAGUGGAAAAUCUGCUCUGAGAUCACGUUAUGAAUGGUAUGUAAUGCUUCUGCUUAAAAAUGUGCAACACACCACAUAAAUGAAAUAUAAAGAUUAAGUAUGUCAACAAAGUAAUUACAAAACAUUUACACCUUAAAGAUUAAUUUAAAUGUAUUUACACUGUUUGGCAAAUGAUGUUCUCUUGCCAUGAAGUUUUAGGAAUGUUAAAUUAGUAAAGUUUAAAGUACUUUUAUAAAUAGUAGAAAUAUUUUAUUGAGAUUUGUUUUUCACUCUGCACAUCUGGCAAAUGCAGAACUUGUACGUUUUGCAUGCUGCACCAGCAAGCUUUUCAGCAUUAUAUAAUAAAAAUGUAAACUUCUGAUGAA